rnacentral:lncRNA from 1 species
CUCCACUUUGGUUUUUAUGCAGAUCCUCACAUCAGAAGGCAAGGGCAGGCCGAGCUAAACAGCUGGCUGGAUUUGCAUGAAAAUGGACUGCCCUUUUUCAUUUGUUUGUUCUUGGGAAAUUACAGUAGGAAAUUCACACAAGGAAUUGCUCCUGCUUUGCUCAUCUCCCAGCAGAGAUACGAGGUUGGAUUUCCCCUGAGCUCACUGGACAUAUCUCUGAUCUACAAUCCAAGUCUCUGAAGUUGCAGCAACCACGGCCCUGGCGUCGCUGUGAACGCCUGGAAUCACCAACAUCCAGCCUGACAACUGCUCAAAUUGCUCUGAUGUUACAGUACAAUGUAAAAAUAAUGCAGGAAACAAGACAUUCUGGCUUUGGAAGCUGACCUGGAAAUGGAUUUCUGGAAGAAGUGGAGAAUUUGACUUGCUUUUCAUUUUAAUGAGAAGGAACAAACCAUCUCACAUUUGGCAAAGUGGGAAAAUUUGAUUUUGUUUUUAAUUUUUUAUUUAUUUAUUUUAUU